UCAACGAUACAUAAUUUUGAACCACAACAAAAUUUAAAUUAAGAAAAAAUGAAAUCAGUUGUAAUUUUUUUUAUUAUUCUUAGCAUACUUGGUGCAGAAUCCACAUCUACAUUUAAGGAUUCCCUUACGGAUACCAACCAUGCGGUUGAUCUUCAUAAAUUUUGUAAACUUGGUUGUGUCUUUUCUCUUUGCAGCAAUGUUUCCACCCCAGAAAACCUGAAUGUGGACAAAGUAGAAAGUUGUGUGAAUGGGUGUGAUCAAACGUGUAAGAAGAACUGAUGCUAAAGAAAAGAAGAUGAAGUAUACUGAGAGGAGAAGGGAACAGGGAUUGGCUUCCCAAGAUAUACUAUAUAUGAAUAAACAAAAAGCAAGUGGUGAAAAUCAAAACCAUUGGUUUAAAAAGAUUAUUAUUUCAUAUUUAAGCAUAUGUUUUGUUUUGAUAUAAAUAAAGUUUCAAGUUUUUGCAUGUCGUUAAAAAAGAGCCCUUUCUCUCUUUUAAUGCUAUACGAGAAUUAAGUCUGUUUUGCCA